UGCAAGAUAGCUCAGUUGGUAGAGCAUGAGACCCUCAACCUCAGGAUCGUGGGUUCGAGCCCCACACUGGGUGAAA